UACGUAGGGGGCAAGCGUUGUCCGGAAUCAUUGGGCGUAAAGAGCGCGUAGGCGGCCCUGUAGGUCCGCUGUGAAAGUCAAGGGCUCAACCCUUGAAUGCCGGUGGAUACUGCAGGGCUAGAGUCCGGAAGAGGCGAGUGGAAUUCCUGGUGUAGCGGUGAAAUGCGCAGAUAUCAGGAGGAACACCGAUGGCGAAGGCAGCUCGCUGGGACGGUACUGACGCUGAGGCGCGAAAGCGUGGGGAGCGAACAGG
rnacentral:rRNA from 1 species